rnacentral:rRNA from 1 species
GACGUAGGGCGCGAGCGUUGUCCGGAUUUAUUGGGCGUAAAGAGCUCGUAGGCGGCUUGUCGCGUCGGCUGUGAAAUCCCGAGGCUCAACCUCGGGCCUGCAGUGGGUACGGGCAGACUAGAGUGCGGUAGGGGAGAUUGGAAUUCCUGGUGUAGCGGUGGAAUGCGCAGAUAUCAGGAGGAACACCGAUGGCGAAGGCAGAUCUCUGGGCCGUAACUGACGCUGAGGAGCGAAAGCAUGGGUAGCGAACAGG